rnacentral:rRNA from 1 species
GACGAACGCUGGCGGCGUGCUUAACACAUGCAAGUCGAACGAAGUGGCGAACGGGUGAGUAACGCGUAAUCAACCUGCCCUUCAGAGGGGGACAACAGUUGGAAACGACUGCUAAUACCGCAUACGGAAGGAGGGGCUUGCGUCUGAUUAGCUAGUUGGAGGGGGAACGGCCAAACCAGGCGAUGAUCCGUAGCCGGUCUGCUGGGAUGAGCGGCAACAUUGGGACGGAGACACGGCCCAGACUCCUACGGUAGGCAGCAGUGGGGAAUCUUCCGCAAUGGACGAAAGUCUGACGGAGCAACGCCGCGUGAGUGAUGACGGCCUUCGGGUUGUAAAGCUCUGUUAAUCGGUACGCGGUACCGGAAUAGAAAGCCACGGCUAACUACGUGCCAGCAGCCGCGGUAAUUC